GACGAACGCUGGCGGCGUGCUUAACACAUGCAAGUCGAACGGAAAGGCCCUGCUUUUGUGGGGUGCUCGAGUGGCGAACGGGUGAGUAACACGUGAGUAACCUGCCCUUGACUUUGGGAUAACUUCAGGUAACUGGGGCUAAUACCGGAUAGGAGCUCCUGCUGCAUGUUUGGGGUUGGAAAUUUUCGGCGGUUGGGGGUGGACUCACGGCCUAUCAGCUUGUUGGUGGGGUAGCGGCUUACCAAGGCUUUGACGGGUAGCCGGCCUGCGAGGGUGACCAGCCACAUUGGUACUGAGGUACGGACAAGACUCCUACGGCAGGCAGCGGUGGGGAAUAUUGCACAAUGGGCGGAAGCCGGAUACAGCAGCACCGCGGGCGGGAUGACGGCCUUCGGGUUGUAACCCGUUUUCGCCUGUGACGAAGCGUGAGUGACGGUAAUAGGUGAAGAAACAACGGCUAACUACGUG
rnacentral:rRNA from 1 species